rnacentral:rRNA from 1 species
GACGACGCUGGCGGCGCGCCUAACACAUGCAAGUCGAGCGGAGAUAUACGAAGAGUAAUCCGAGUAUAUCUUAGCGGCGGACGGGUGAGUAACGCGUGAGUGACCUGCCUCUUACAGGGGAAUAACGUGCCGAAAGGCACACUAAUACCGCAUAAGACCACGAAACCGCAUGGUUAUGAGGUCAAAGGAGCAAUCCGGUAAGAGAUGGGCGUCGCGUCCGAUUAGAUAGUUGGUGAGGUAACGGCCCACCAAGUCGACGAUCGGUAGCCGACCUGAGAGGGGUGAUCGGCCACAUUGGAACUGAGAGACGGUCCAAACUCCUACGGGAGGCAGCAGUGGGGAAUAUUGGGCAAUGGGGGAAACCCUGACCCAGCGACGCCGCGUGAGGGAAGAAGGUUUUCGGAUUGUAAACCUCUGUUCUUGGUGAAGAGGGGAAGACGGUAGCCAAGGAGGAAGCCCCGGCUAACUACGUG